rnacentral:rRNA from 1 species
UACGUAGGCAGCAAGCGUUGUUCGGAGUUACUGGGCGUAAAGGGCGCGUAGGCGGCCACCGCAAGUCGACUGUGAAAUCUCCGGGCUUAACCCGGAAAGGUCAGCCGAUACUGCGGGGCUAGAGUGCAGAAGGGGCAACUGGAAUUCUCGGUGUAGCGGUGAAAUGCGUAGAUAUCGAGAGGAACACCUGCGGCGAAGGCGGGUUGCUGGGCUGACACUGACGCUGAUGCGCGAAAGCUAGGGGAGCGAACGGG